rnacentral:rRNA from 1 species
AUUGAACGCUGGCGGCAUGCCUUACACAUGCAAGUCGAACGGCAGCGCGGGAGCAAUCCUGGCGGCGAGUGGCGAACGGGUGAGUAAUAUAUCGGAACGUGCCCAGUAGUGGGGGAUAGCCCGGCGAAAGCCGGAUUAAUACCGCAUACGACCUGAGGGUGAAAGCGGGGGAUCGCAAGACCUCGCGCUAUUGGAGCGGCCGAUAUCAGAUUAGCUAGUUGGUGGGGUAAAGGCCUACCAAGGCAACGAUCUGUAGUUGGUCUGAGAGGACGACCAGCCACACUGGGACUGAGACACGGCCCAGACUCCUACGGGAGGCAGCAGUGGGGAAUUUUGGACAAUGGGCGCAAGCCUGAUCCAGCAAUG